UACGUAGGGGGCGAGCGUUGUCCGGAGUUACUGGGCGUAAAGAGCACGCAGGCGGUGCGGCGCGUGUCGCGUGACAGCGGGGGGCUUAACUCCCCGAGGGUGCGACAGACGGCGGCACUUGAGGGCCAGCGAGGGACACGGAAUUCCGGGUGGAGUGGUGAAAUGCGUAGAGAUCCGGAGGAACACCGAAGGCGAAGGCAGUGUCCUGGCUGACACCUGACGCUGAGGUGCGAAAGCCAGGGGAG
rnacentral:rRNA from 1 species